rnacentral:tRNA from 3 species
GGUUUAUUGGUAUAUGGGUAUUACGCUUGCCUGUCACGCAAGAAAAACGAGUUCGAGUCUCGUAUAGACCGCCA